CUCUCUCAGUGUCAAUGGACAGUGGCUCUCUAUUGAUGUCUGAGAUUGUGGAUAUUCCAGAUGACAGCUCCCCAUCUGAGGACUCCUGCCUAAUGGAAGUGGGUGUCGGUAUGCGGGCACGGCCACGGGGGGGCAGCGAGGGAGGGGAGGGGGGAGAGUACGCCAGCCUCCGUUCUUCCGCACAACAUCCCGAGGGAAUGGUGGCCGCUCCUUCCGGAAGGCGUUGUUUCAGAGGCGAGAGAUCGAACUCCUGCUCCUGCCCGAGCUCGUACAACACCUCUACCUACAGGUCUCCAGUGUUGAGGCGUCAAGCUCUGUUGGCGAGUAGCUGCUCUCAGUUGGAGUUCUUAGCAGGAUCUAAACAUUCCUGUAUCCCAGAAAUCCGAGUUCGGCCCUGCACACCCUCCCGACAGGACUCCUCAUCUGCAUUCACUAACCCACCUACCGCAGCCCCAUCAGGUCCUGCUCAAGACCGGCCGGACCAUACAGUACCGGUGCUCCUUCUGCGGCCAGGUUUCCGUGAGCAAAUUGGACGUGAUAGAAAAGACAGCGACGGCUUCUUACCUCUCUUGAGGUCACACAGUGAACCAGGACUUAGCACUUCAACUGACACAGGUGAUUUCAGUCACUCAGGAGGCAAUAAAGGAGUCAGUGAGGGGGGAUCGCAGACCACAUCAGAAACAGGGGUAUCGUCUGGAGCUGGUUUGCUGCCUCGCUCCUCUUUUGCACUUCCUGCUUCCCUGCCCAGAAAAGGCAGCAUUAAGACUGUAAGUACCCGGUUGCCCUCAAAACAAGUUCCAGCCACCUCGCUGCGUUUACCCAAAGACUGUGCACGCUCUCUUGGAGACCUCAAGGUCACCAAAGUUUUAGUGCAACGUUUCCUGCAGAGAUCCAAACGUAACUUAGCCCUUGCAACUGAACAUGCUGGAAACUGUACUCAGGGGCCUAAAAGGAGGACAGGAAGUGAAGGCCUGCCAUUAGAACAGGUGCUUCGUAACUCUCUGGGGACCAACAGGGGGCAGCAGCAGCACGUCCACCACCACUGCCGUGGACACCAUCACUCCCAUAGUGACAGUCGCCAUAAUGCCCCCCGCCGCCAUGAUGAUGACCCUGUAAGGGCCGGGGGAAUCCACUUGCGUAGCUGCGGAGACCUCAACUCGACAUCCAUUGCAUCACUGCGCAGACUCCACCCACCGUCACACGGAUCAUCUGGGGCUCUUUACUCAGAAUCUGCCCUCUGAAAUGAGGCGGGGGAUUCUGGAAUGAAUCACUGCUGGAUUCUGGAGAGGGGCAGAGAAAAUUUAAGGAAAGAAUGACAGGUGGGAAAUAGGUUUGGAUUUAG
rnacentral:lncRNA from 1 species